ensembl:lncRNA
GUCAAGACAUUUUGGAAUAAAUUUUUAAUUAAUUCUCAGAUGAACAUGAGAACAUUGUACCUACAGAAGGGUUGCCCCAGGAGCCAGCUAGCAGCAUGGGGGUGGAAGCUCCACAUGUUAAACACAGUCUGCAGCUAUGUUGCUCCCAGACCCUUUGACGCUGCUGCUGGGUGACAGAGAAACAAGCCUUCAUCAGAUGACAAGUAGUCUGCAGGCUGUAGAACUAGUGAAGGGAAACUCCCCUACAAAAAUCAAGCCAGAUCUUUGUGGACAAGAAGCACCGCAUGCACAUCUGCUGAAGUGCACGGCUCCAUCUGUUAGCAGUCCUGGCA